AAAGCUGUAUAACUUUGAAUAUUUUCCUCAGGAUCCUGUAAAAACUAAAGAUGAGUAGGAUUGUCUUAUGCAUUUUCUUCUGUGCUGGACUUUUGUUAUGUGUGGAAACACGUAAAUGUCCAAGAUGUGAUAAAAACCAUUGUCAAAAAAAGAAAGACAGCGAUUGUCCUGCUGGUCUUGUGCUCGAUAAGUGUAAUUGCUGUCUUGUCUGUGG